UACGAAGGGGGCUAGCGUUGCUCGGAAUCACUGGGCGUAAAGGGUGCGUAGGCGGGUCUUUAAGUCAGGGGUGAAAUCCUGGAGCUCAACUCCAGAACUGCCCUUGAUACUGAAGGUCUUGAGUUCGGGAGGGGUGAGUGGAACUGCGAGUGUAGAGGUGAAAUUCGUAGAUAUUCGCAAGAACACCAGUGGCGAAGGCGGCUCACUGGCCCGAUACUGACGCUGAGGCACGAAAGCGUGGGGAGCAAACAGG
rnacentral:rRNA from 1 species